CUCUCUCUCCUAGUCUCUCUCUUGGCCGAAUUCUCUGCAGCAAAAACACAACACAAAGUUGCCAUUUUCAUCCUCAAUUCUUGCACAAAAACUUCAUGGAUUCACACCAAAUUUGAACUACACUUAGCUUGUCACGUGGAGAGAUCAUCUAGCUAGAAAAAGGAGGAGUUUCUCACGGUUUCUUGGAGCAUCUUGAGGACCGAAAUUUCUGGUUUAAAGCAACAAGGAGGUAUAACCUCAUCCUACACCUUAAGCUUGGUUUAUGAUGGUAGAAAUGCAUCCUUAAGCUAUUGCAUGUGUAUGGGUAUCUUGAUAUUGUUGGAAAAAUGUGAAAGUGGGCUCUAUGGAUUCCCACACUUGGGUUGUUGCUGAUUUGAUGAUUGAUGGUGGAUAUAUUGUUGGUUUAGUGGUUAAAAUGAUGGAUUAAUGGUGUGUAAUUGACAGAAAUUUCAUUGGGUGCAAGAGGCAAAAGUUUCCGAUUUUACCCCUGCCUUGUCCGACCACUUUUGUGCAAAAUUUUGAAGUUCUAAUGGCUUGAUUAUGUUGUUUACAUGUUAUUGUGAGUGUGUACAAAAUUUCAUUGAAAAAUAACAUGAUUUGGUUGGUCAAAUGAGUUGAUUUCGAAAGUUAGCAAAUCUGGAAAAUGAUUCCCGUAUUGACCAGGCAGUCAUUUUGUAUCGGCUAUAACUCUUUACUCCGAUGUCGAAAUCAAGUGCCGUUUGCGGCAUUGGAAACUAGACAUUCCCAGCUUUCCAUUGGUACUAAAUUCGCGUUCUGGUUCCACUUGAGUGAGCCACACCAUUCGUUUGAAAAUCACUGCCCUGUUUCGUUGCUCUCCAGGAGACAGGACAGAAAUUUCUUCUUGAUGCUCAAAAACGAGCUGUUUGUGGAUAGAAUUUGGAAAUGGUUUCUUCUGAGAAAAUUCAGCUUUAUGAGAGAGCUUUCUAACGCCAUCAACCACGCUCAAUUCCAAGUUGAAUUGAGUGAGUUGUGGCCAUAUUUCGAAACUGAUGCAGUGAGUAAAAAUCCUCUUUUGACUAGUUAAAUGGCCUAGCUUGAUUUGGGACUUGUUGUUUUGGAAAAUUUGAUGUCCAACAUCUACCAAACUUUAUAUUAGAUGUUUCUUGGACUUUGUUUUACAAAUAAACCAGAUUUGGGUUGGUUGCUUUGGACAAAAUGUUUAAAAAGGAAAGAAGAGCUAGAAGACAGUUUUACCUUGGGAAAUUUCCUGAACUUUGAUGGUUUAGUUAACUACCUUCCCGUGUGUAUUUUCAAAUGAAAUUUGAUAGAAGAGUAAUCCUCAUAUGGAGGUUUAAUUGUACAAAAUUUGGUAAUAUUCUAAGACCAUUUUGAUAUGCAAAUGAUGUCACAAAAUUCGCUCAUUGAAUCUGGAAAACUUUUGUUUUCUCUUAGCCGAAUGGCCAAAUCUGAUUUGGAGAGUUUUAUUUCGAAAAUUUGGAUGUCAAUGGUCUUUAAAUUGCUCAGUGAAUGUUUAUGAACUCCUGGUUUCAAUAAUGGAGAGAUUUGGAACUGAUUUCAUGGUACAAAAAGUUUGUAAACAAAAGAAAAGUGAGAAGGUAGUUUAGCCUUGAAACUCUUCAUAAACUUUGGUUGUUUUAAUGACUACCUUACCGUGUGAGUUUUUGUAUGAAACUUGGUAGAAAUGUUGUUCACAUAUGGAAGAUUUAGUGUACCAAGUUUUAUGUAUUUCCACUGCCAACUUGAUGACCAAAUGAUAUUUCAAAUCUAGUUUUAAACCUGGAAAAUAGCCCAACAGUCUUAACUUUUUCAGCAACUUGGAGGUACUAUAUCUUGGUGCUCGAAACUCCGUUUCUCGUUCCGCUUGUUUUGUUAUACUCUUGGAUUGCAACACUAAUUGAUUUCCAAAUUUCAAAGGUUAGUUCAAAACAAGUGAAUUUUGCCGAAUUUCUAAAGUUGGCCAAAAACCAACUUAAAUCUGUCUUGGUAAUUCAAGUUACCAACUUUGAGCCAAAAUUUGAGUGCCUUUCACUUACAUUCGUGGAAAAGUGUCUUGUAAGAACUUUUAGUACUUUGAAAGAGGAUUCCAACAGUACCAAGUUUUCCAAUUUUGGACUUGUGAAGAGUGAAAUAUGAUUUUUCAAAUAUUACUUGUUAAAUCUGGAAUUUUUUAACUUAAAGGAAACUAAAGGUUUCAAACCCUCCAUUUUCCUUCAAUAUCAUUUGAUCGUUUUACAUUUGAUUUUAAAGAUGGAAAUCAGAUUUGUCUUGUAUUUUAAAACCCACUUUUGAACCUCGAGUUACACGAACUCUUAGACUUGCCUCUGCGUUAAUUUCUUAGAUUGUACUAGUGUACAAUUUUCCUCGAUAAUUAGAAUGAUUUUGAGUGGUAGUUGAUUAUUGUUGCUCAGGCACUCGAGGGAAUCUCCCAGAGGAACUCGGAGCGGAC
rnacentral:lncRNA from 1 species